UCUGUAGACACAGACUGAAAAACCUAUAAUAAGUUAAAGCACGGAUGGGGGUUCGCCGGUUCCGUCUGAGACCCAAUGGUGAAAAACCUAUAACGAAGAAUUCGGAGAAGAAGAACUUGAGAUUGAUAUCAACACCAUCUUCGUGCUCUAACUGAUUUAUGUCACCAAUGGUAUCUGCUAACGCUUUAUUUUGACAAAAUGGUAAGCCCAAAAUAUUGAAUAUUUAAUUACAAAAAUUAAAUACUACACCAUCUUCUACUGUCUACAUAUGUCCUGAGUUAGUAUUUAAUGACUAGUUAUUAAAUUAUAGGAAGUUGUUGAGUUUAUUGUUGGGGUACUUAAAUCUGUUGAUCAGUUGAUGCCAAAGAGGCACCAGAUUCAGCUAAAAUUCCUAAUGUUGCUGGACGGUUUGUAGUUCAAGCCGCUGAGAGAUGAUUGUAUGCAGAUUUGUUAUUUCCUGACUGUAAAAGAGUCAAUUCACACUUGGAAGUUAAUAGUUAUACGCUUUUUACAUUAUGUUGAGACCUCUGUGAGAAGGAUAGAUUAGUAAGCUCCAAAUUGCAUUGCUAGACACCUUCCAAUUGUAAAUUCUUUAUGCACAUAGUCUGUGACAUUAAUUUAGUAGAUAAGCAGGUUGUCAAGGCAUUUUGAAUCUUUGAAUGGUUGUUUCCACAUAACUUUGUCAUGUCGUAAAACACUGGCCUUCAAGAAACCAACACUCAAUGAUGAUUAUCAUCAACAUUUACAUAGCCCGAAUCCUUUGUCACCGCACAAUGAUAGUCGUAGGAAUGACAUAUAAGCUUGAAUAAUGUAUACGAAUAAUGUAUACACUAAUUAAGUAGAAGGAUUUCAAGAUCUGCUGUUCUUAUCUAACUUGAUAGCAGCAGCGGAGGCAUUGGUGUCGGGGACAGGGGUCGUGAGAUCGAAUCUUUGAUCUUAAAGACAGUACUUCUUUAUUUUGUUUUGCUUAUACUUAUGAUUCCAACAUUUUCUAUUGGUAUCCAAUCUGGAUUUUUUACUGAUGCAGAAGUUCAUAACUGAUGCGUAUUUUGUCUUGCAUCUGCAUUUGUUUUACUGUUGCUGACACCAUUUUUAUGUGAAUGGGUGUAAAUUUGUUAAAUCCCAAGUUUGAUGUGUAAAGCGUUGGAAGGCAAAGUGUUAUCACUCUGAUGUUUAGUGUUUUCAAGACUAACGGAUACGUGAAAUGUGGGUUAUGAUGACUAUCUUUGUUGGUGGGAUGUGUGAGGGAUUUAAUCUUGAAAAGAAUUGGUAAGCGUUAUGAUGUCAUUACAACUGCCGAUCUUAAACAGGUUUUCGCGUAGUUUCUUCGGUCCUUAAUUUGUUAUGUAGUUGGUGAAAUAAAAACAGUCACAUCGGUAAUUUGCAGACCAAGAAACAUUGCUCUCUCAGAUUGUGAGGCGGUCAUUACCCAUAUGCAAUGUUUAUUUUCUCUACUGAUGCAAGCAAGUUAACUAGUCAGUCUGACAAACCAUCCCAAACCGUAUUUACACACAACUUGGACCUGAUUUACAUAUAGAAUGAUAGAUAUAUCUCAACUGCAGCAAGGAAAAAAAAAGUUUAAAAAGGAGAAAAACAGAAGUGUGUGAAAACGGGGCCCAAGAAAAACACAAGUAACAAAACUUUGGUACAAACGAAGAAAAAGAAUGACCCAUGCAGCUUAAUAAUUAGCUACAACUUUGAAGAUCGGUCGGGGUAAAUCCACUAGAGGAAAACUCCCACCUGGGAUCCAUGGGAUUACCUUUGUUUGGAGAAACCAUUCAGUUCUUCAUCCCCAACAACUCAACAUAGAUGCCCAUGUUUCUCAAAAAGAGAUUAGCCAGAAAGGCACAAGGUGUUCAUUUGAAGGUUAUGCUUCUGGAUUGUUGGAUAUUGCUUAGGACGGGUCACCCAUUUAGAAUCUAAGGAAUGCACGAGUAGAGUCAAAAGAGAUCUCCAUCAUGGACAGUGGAGUAGAGAACUCUCAUCACAGGAGCUGAUGUAAAACCUACGCUGGUGUUUGGCUUGAGUAAAGGUGAAAAGGCUGAUUUUUGUAAGAUGCCAAAAGACCUAAAAUUUCCUAGUGUUUUUUAUUUUAUUUUAUAAAUGACCUUCGGUAUGUGAGGACUCGGAAAUGCAGUUAUUGAAGAUGAGGAUACAUUCAAAUGCAAGUUUCCGUUUACGGAAAGGUUAUGGCUCCUAGAGGUUGCUAAUGGUCCAGAUGAGAAUGAGUUGCUGUCCCAAGCUAUUCAGGAAAUGACGGACAGUUUGCACAAGGCCAGGAAAAUACGCCAAAAAAAAAAGGAAGGAGGUCAUGGCCUCAGGCUACAGGGGAAUUUGGUGACCUCUAAGAAACCCCAAUACAAGAAAUUUCGAAAUUUUCAUCUCACUAGAAUAUCCUAUAUUCAGAGUACUUUUGAAAAAAUUUAAAUUCUAGCUAUCGAUGGGACGUCAGACCAACACUUAAGUUGCUGAUAGCAAUGCAGAUGCAGGUGAAGGACAGCUUCUCUAUAACGCUGUCAUCGCAGCAGCCAAAUUAGAAUAUUUAAAAUGAUAGCCUCAAUUGAAACUUUGCAAUUAAUUUUAAUACUGGUUUUCAUUACCUAGGAAACUUAAAUUUAAGUGAAUCUUGCUUUGGUUUGUAGUAGAUCUGGUAAUACGCAGAACUGCACAGGUAAGAGUCUUAAAGCUCUGAAUGAUCAUGUAUCUCAUUCCAAGACAUUAUGUAAACCAGCAAUAUUUGGCCAGACCUCAUACCAAUUUUGGGUAUGAAUCUGGUGUUGUUUGGAAGUUUGUUUUCUGAAAAGAAUAAUAUCUUCCACUCUAAAUGUUCUUAAUAUCAGGUAGUAUAAAUUUUUUAUUAGUUGGUUCCAUGAUGUUAGCUUGGAUGUGUUUCCGUCAGUUCUCAUUUCCGUUAGGUAUUAGAGACACUAUAGCUCCACAAGAAAUAGCUGAUCUCAUCUUUGGAUGAACUUGAAACUUAUCCAUCUCCUUUUGGCACAUGUAAUGUACCAUAUGGUGCCUUCUCAACCUGAAAACCUCUGGCCUGUUACAUUUAGCUCAAGGUGGAUGGCCUUUGCCUUUUUGCUUUCAUAAUAGUUCCUACGGUACUGUAUUGAGUUUUUAUACCUUGUAAAUUUAUUCUCUCUAUAUAUUCUGCAUCUCUUCUAAUAAAGCUUUUUGCGAUAGUAAAUUGAGAAAGUGAACAAAAACAGUAAUCUAUGAUUACAAAGGUCUGUUUUCUAUUUUUAUGAAGUUGCAUUGGUUACUUAUUGAGAUUUAUAUUUUGCAGUAGUAAUACCAAUGACCCAUCAUUAUUCUUACUGCUAGUGUUAUAAUGGCGUUAUAAAAUGUUCCGCCUCAUGUACAGAUUUACGACUGUGGACAAGUAACUAGAAUUUCUAAUGUCCUGUAUCUAGUAGAUCUUGCAUUGUUUAUUAGGUUUAGUAGAUCCUGCAUUGGUCAUUAGGUUGAUUUUUGCCUUAUAAGUCGCUUUUAAUUUAUUGCAUAAGCUUUAUGUGCUAGUUGUCUUGAUCUCGCUUCUGUGAAUAAUUAGUUGCUUGCUAAAUUGUUUGUUGUUAUUUCCUUUAUAGGAUAUGGCUCGUAGAGGUUUCUGAUGGUGCUGAUGGGACUAAGGUGCUGGCUCAAGCCAUAGGGGAAAUGAGUGCCAGUUUGUGCAUAGCCAGGGAAACACUCCAACUCAACCUGUGCAAAAAGAUGAGUUUGCUUGCGUUAUAGGCCGUCUUCCUGUGAAAGUAGCUGUUUACCAGAAGGUGUGGGUAAUGACGGCCCCUAGGUAACUAGAAUUUCAACUAUUGUUUCUGAAUAUUGCUUAUCCAGAUUUCAAAUACCGUUUUUCGCUAGUUGUCAUCUUCCGCAAAAGCUUGUUUGUUUGGUUUUGCUAUGUAUUUGUGUAGAGUGUACUGGAAUUGGGUGAAUGUGAACGGGUUACAAGGUGAAUGCUUUGUGCGUUGAACUUCACCUAGUUAGGCUGCCUGUGUGAAUGCUUAAACUGGUAAUUGAGUUAAUAAUUCCUGGCAUUGAUGAUCAGUUAAAAGCAUCUUUGGUCGCAUUAUCAUCAACACUAAUUGUCAAAUUCAGGAUUUCACUUUUCUAAUGUUGCUGGGGUCCAUUUGAAUUUUGGAAACUUUUCUAAGGUUUAGAGUGAUGUGACGCUGAUGCCGCCCCCUUCCCCUAACAAAAAAAGAACGAUUUUUUAGGGACCACGGUUUUUUUGGGGACCAUGGUCUUAUUAGGCCAACCUCCCUAUACUUAUAAGGGGUGUCCCAAAGUUAGGUAAAUACCCAUUUAUCCUUUACUUUAAUUUAAAUUAACUAGGAAUUACUAGUUAAUCCACUAUAGGAAGAACCGGUUAUUGUGUAGUCCAUCAUCAGAAAACAAUUACUCGCUGGUCCAAAAACAUGCUUUUAGACCAGAUUUUUUAUUCUCUCGUCCAGCAUACAUGCAAGGUGUUUUAUGUGUAUUUCAUAAACGUCGUAAUUGUCCCUCCGUCCAAUCAAUACCUAACAUAAAAACACGUCAAGCAUAUUAUUUU